GAAUUGGGUUCCCCCAAGGAGCGGCAGCGGUCCGUCGAGAGGGCACGUCAGUCGCUGCCCUCUCCGCCGUGUUUGUUAUUCCAAUAUCUUGUUCUUCUCUUCUCUGAUUUCCUCCUCUUCCACCAGCGUCGGAAUGCGAAGACGUCUCUCCACGGUCCUCGCCCGCGGCGCCCAUGGACCUUGGGCCUUUCAAAGGACCAGGAGUCGCUCCUACUGCGAUCGAUCGCAGAGGCCCGCGGAACGGGCCGAACGGCGCCCAGGCCCACUUUCAACAUAUAGGAGCAUGGUUAGCCGGGGGAAACUUCGAUAUGAUGUUUACCAGGAAAAAGUAGCCUUUGAGUUAGAAGAUUUACUUGGAAGACUAGAGCAGUAUGGGAAAGAAAUGGACGAUUACCAUGAAAAAUUGACUAUUUGGGAGAAGAAUAGAGAGAGUGAGAGAAACAAACUUCUGCUGGAAGAAGCUAAGCUUAAACAGCAGGAGGGUGUAUGGAUGGAAGCAAGAAACAUCAGGAGUGGAUUUGUUGACAAGUGGAUAUUUAGGAGAAGGCGUGGGAAUGUAGAACCUGGUGUUGGAAAAAUGGUGUCAUAUCUUAAUCGAGAGAAGAGGCUAGAUUCUGUAGUUGGUUGCCGACCAGUUGCACCUGCAACUCCAAAAGGAAUAUAUCUUUAUGGAAACGUUGGAAGUGGAAAGACUAUGCUAAUGGACAUGUUUUACAGUGCCACUGAAGGUAUUGUAAAGCACCGGCGGAGGUUUCACUUUCAUGAGGCAAUGCUUGAAAUACAUGAACAUAUGCAUGACAUAUGGAAGAACCGGCACAAUGACAGGUCUGUCCAAUCCAGUACUUUCAGUUGGAUAACUAGUCUCCCAUUUGAUGUGAAAGUCAAAGAGUGGUUGAUUGGAGAGGAAAGAUAUAAGCAGGAGGUACAAACAAAACAUAUUCUACCUGCUGUAGCAGAUAAAUUUCUUGUUGACAGGAAAGCAAAUAAGAUUGGGGCAAGUGUUCUCUGCUUUGACGAGAUACAGACUGUUGAUGUGUUUGCUAUUGUGGCCUUAUCUGGAAUUUUAAGUAGAUUAUUAAGCACUGGAACAGUUCUUGUGGCUACCAGUAACAGAGCACCUGAGGAUUUGAAUCAGGAUAGUAUGCAGCAAGAUAUCUUCCGAUCAUUCUUGUCCAAGUUGGAGGAAAAUUGUCAAAAAAUUCUAGUUGGUAGUGAGAUUGAUCAUCGCCGCCUAAUACCAAAUACAACAGGAGAUCAGUGUCAUUACUUCUGGCCAUCCAAUUCUGAUGCCCACAGAGAAUAUGAAGCCAUGUGGCAUGACAUCACUAAACAAGCUGGAGAAAAUAUUGCUCCGAGAAUCAUUUCCGUUAUGUUUGGGAGAUCCCUGGAGGUUCCUGAAAGCUGUAACGGAAUAGCAAGAUUCAACUUUGAGUAUCUUUGUGGUCGCCCAGUUGGAGCAGCAGAUUAUAUUGCAGUAGCCAGAAACUUUCACACAGUGUUCAUAUCGGGGAUUCCAGUGAUGAGUAUGAGAAUUCGUGACAAGGCGCGGAGGUUUAUCACUCUUCUUGAUGAGUUGUACAAUCACCACUGCCGCCUUGUCUGUUUAGCAGCUGCUUCCAUUGAUGAUCUAUUUCAAGGAACUGAUGAAGGAGCUCUUUUUGAUCUCGAGAGUUUUCAGUUUGAGACUGAGACAGAAGGUGGGAAACUGCGACGAGAUGUUUUAGCUGCUGGUAGUGCCGGUUCAGGGCCGCCUCCUUCUGGAAUCAUAUCUUUGUUAUCUGGCCAGGAAGAGAUGUUUGCCUUUCGCAGGGCUGUCUCACGGUUGAUUGAAAUGCAGACACCAUUGUAUAUUGAAGGGGUUCGUGCAUUCCACCCCUUCUUUCAACAGCACAGCCAGCAGCUGUCGAUUUGUUCAACUUCCUCCUCCCUUCAACCAUCCUACUGACAGUUAUUUGCUCGUAAUACAACUAAGAAGAUUUUGAACCCCAAAGCAGGGUAAACACCCAAGGUCCAAGUCCCCUCCUCACUGGUUGCAGGAGCAUUUGCUUGAGUCACUUCAACCUCGUCAAGAUGCCGAUGUAUCUCCUACAUGCUUUCCUCAAAAUCUGGUGGAAGGGAGACACAUCAGAGCUUUAUAGCAGUCCCACUCCAAGUCUAAUAGGAGUUGUACCAUAUGCUGUAACACGCUAGUUUGCUGCUUAUGCGAUACUGAAGAUGUCCCUCUAAGGACCUUAGGGGAAAUUGGUAAAAUUACAGCGUUCCA